CGAACGUCAGUCGAUACUCGACCCGCCAGCCUCAGCUAUGGAUGGCGCAGAUGCGCAGUAAGCAGUUGGAGAUUCACCGGGCUCCUGUGAUAAAGUUGCAUAAUUCAAUUACGUUCUAAAAAAAUUGUAAAAUGUCUACUGCCACGCCGAAAUUUUUUCACAAAUUCCAAUUCCCCAUUAUAAUGGGUAGUUUUCUCGUUGGAGCAUGCACGGCUUUUAUGUUUCGAUACAGCUUAAUGGGGGAUUUGGAACCACAACGUGAGAUUUUAGUCCCCGAAGACAAAGAGAGUCGAGCUCUUGGAGAGCAGGGAAUAAGAGAACAUUGGCAAAAAUCCUGAGCACCCAUAGGAGCAAGUUUUUCGUCUUUGCUAUUCAAGCUGCUCAUCAUUUGUAAAGACGGUGUAUGUGCUGAUACAGUAUUUUUGCAUCUCCAGUACUUUGGAGAUCCCAGCAGCCGUAGAAUCAUCAGGACCGGCUAUUGCCAUUGACAUACAUUUUAUAUUUUUCGAGAUCCAUUAACUUAGGUAGACACAAUACUAUACGCAUUUAUGUAUCUACAUACGGUUGAUCCACGGUAUAUCAGGAAAUGUUUUAUUUAAUACAGUUACAUGAGAAAAGGGUGAAGCUAAUAAUUUACUUCUACAUGUUCACAAUAUUCGAGUUGAAUGAAACCGUAAUACCUGCUAUAUAUAACUUGAUAAUAUUGUAGUUUUAAAUAAGCAAUGCGAGCAAUCACGUAACGGGUUUAUUUAUUCAUUCGUCAAACAAUUUGUAUGCAAAUUUUGGAAACCGAUUACGUAAAAUACGUUGUGAGUUACCUUGAAAUUGUAUCGCUUUGGUUGAAAUAAAUGUAAUUGUUUUCGCCGGUCAGUUUAUUGCGCAGCUGACGCGAGUGCAGCUAUGGAAUACUAAUAAACGGUUUGUCAAUUCUUGA